AGAACGAACGCUGGCGGCAUGCCUAACACAUGCAAGUCGAACGUGAUCCGGGGCUUGCUCCGGUGAAAGUGGCGGACGGGUGAGUAACGCGUGGGAACCUGCCCAGUGGUCGGGGAUAACUGCGGGAAACUGCAGCUAAUACCCGGUAAGCCCUACGGGGGAAAGAUUUAUCGCCAUUGGAGGGGCCCGCGUCGGAUUAGGUAGUUGGUGGGGUAAAGGCCUACCAAGCCUUCGAUCCGUAGCUGGUCUGAGAGGAUGAUCAGCCACACUGGGACUGAGAUACGGCCCAGACUCCUACGGGAGGCAGCAGUGGGGAAUAUUGGACAAUGGGCGCAAGCCUGAUCCAGCAAUGCCGCGUGAGUGAAGAAGGCCUUAGGGUUGUAAAGCUCUUUCGGCGGGGACGAUGAUGACGGUACCCGCAGAAGAAGCCCCGGCUAACUACGUGCCAGCAGCCGC
rnacentral:rRNA from 1 species